ensembl:lncRNA
CGCCCCCGCGGCGAGCCGUGGACGCGAAGGCUAAGAGCGGAAGGAGGUUUGGGAUUGGAUGCCACCAGCACUUCCUGGUUUAGAGGCGCCGGAACCGGGCUAUCCCAGAGGGAGCGAGGGAGUAUCUGCCCUUGGUUGGGAUGUGGUUCUGCGAAGUUCGCUCUUGGAGGGUCUGGUGACCCCUGGAGCAGCUCUAGGGCCUAUAGGUUUCCUGGCACCGUCGCCCUUGUUUUCUGUCCGCGUGGCGCCAGGCUUUGGGGCUUUGGCGCGGCAGGUGCCAGAGGUCAGUUAGGCGCGGCCUCUGGCCACGGCUCCUCCUUGGUCCUGGGAGGACCCCCGGCGCCCUCUAGUGCCAGUCAAGGUCUGGCCGCGAAGGUUGGCGGUCUGGGAGCGGCCCCUGCGUGGACCACUUACGGCGUUCCCUUUUGUGGGCUUUUUUCAAAGUGCCUGAACCAGCCUGAGGACAAGCACCUUCUUGCCUUAGUUACUGUUGUACUGUACCGCCACCGCUAGAUGUCAUGCCUGUCGCCUGAAGUGAAGUCGCUCAGUCGUGUCCGACUCUUUGCGAUCCCUUGGACUGUAGCCUACCAGUCUCCUCCGUCCAUGCAAUUUUCCAGGCUCCUGGACCGAAAUCUAUCUUGGAAAAAACCUGCACACUCAUGGUGGGGAGGGUCCUAAGGCAGGUCAGAUGUGGAAAAAGAAACCAGGUAAUUGGCUAAAGGUAAACAAAGACCUGGAAGAACUGACCUAUAUAAAUGACUUAACUACCCCUUCACUACACUCCUCCUUAUUCAGGGAGACACCCCACACCCUUUCUAUCCUAGUAUGCAUCCCUGGCUUGCUUCUAUCUUAACAAACUAUUUCUCUCUGUGUUCUCCCACUUUUGGUUGUGCCAUAUCUCUAAAAAUAAACUUUGUACCUG